CUACGGGUGGCUGCAGUGAGGAAUAUUGGUCAAUGGGCGCGAGCCUGAACCAGCCAUCCCGCGUGCAGGAUGACGGCCCUAUGGGUUGUAAACUGCUUUUCUAUGCCAAGAAACCUGAUUACGUGUAAUCAGUUGCCGGUAGCAUAGGAAUAAGCAUCGGCUAACUCCGUGCCAGCAGCCGCGGUAAUACGGAGGAUGCAAGCGUUAUCCGGAUUCAUUGGGUUUAAAGGGUGCGCAGGUGGGCUUGUAAGUCAGUGGUGAAAUGCUGUCGCUUAACGGUAGAACUGCCAUUGAUACUGCGAGUCUUGAGUAUGGUUGAGGUAGGCGGAAUGUGUUGUGUAGCGGUGAAAUGCAUAGAUAUGACACAGAACGCCAAUUGCGAAGGCAGCUUACUAAGCCAUUACUGACGCUGAGGCACGAAAGCGUGGGGAGCGAACAGGAUUAGAUACCCCAGUAGUC
rnacentral:rRNA from 1 species